AUUGAACGCUGGCGGCAGGCCUAACACAUGCAAGUCGAGCGGAGCGGCGGACGGGUGAGUAAUGCCUAGGAAUACGCCUGGUAGUGGGGGACAACGUCCGGAAACGGGCGCCAACACCGCAUACUAUCAGAUGAGCUUAGGUCGGAUUAGCUAGUUGGUGGCGUAAAGGCCUACCAAGGCGACGAUCCGUAACUGGUCUGAGAGGAUGAUCAGUAACUCUGUAACUGAUGCCCGGUCCAGACUCCUACGGGUGGCAGCAGUGGGGAAUGUUGGACAAUGGGCGAAAGCCUGAUCCAGGCCUGCCGGGUGUGGGAAGAGGGUCUUCGGAUUAUAAGGCACUUGAAUUUGGGAGGCGUUACCCACAGAGUAAGCGCCGGCUAACAACGUGCCAGCAGCCGCGGUAAUUG
rnacentral:rRNA from 1 species